AAUUAAAAAAACGUACGUAACACGAAAUUAAAAUUUUUAUUUUUAGCAUUAAAAAUAAAAAGAGGUAAUCAGCAACUGAAACAAUUAUCGCGGCAUACUGUAUAUAGAAAUAUAAAAACAAUAUGUAAUGAGCAACAGCAAAAAAUUAAGACUGCAAUAGAGAACGCUCCUUUUGUGUGCACAACGGCAGAUAUUUGGUCAGCAACAAAUCGCUGAUUCAUGAGUGUUACUGCUCAUUGGAUCACUGAAGAUUUACUGGAAAGAAAGUCGGCUGCGAUUGCAUGCAGAACAUUUCUUGGCAACCAUACAUGGGAUAAUGUUGCUGAGUUAUUAUUACAAAUUAAUAAAUCAUUUGGAUUAGUUGGAGAAAAAUUGAUCUCAACUGUUACAGACAAUGGUUCAAAUUUCGUAAAAGCGUUUAAACAACUAGGAGUUACCUUAUAUAGAGAUAAAAAUGAAGAUCAUAAUUGCAUAGACAGUGAUCUUGAUGAAGAUAAUGAUAUUAUAAUAGGACUAACUAAUUCAACUGAUGGCUGUAGUUUGCUAGAAGAGAACUUAGUAGAAUUGCCUCAGCAUAUACGCUGCGCUAGUUACACAUUACAUUUAGUGGCUACUAAUACUACAAUAACAGUCUUGAAUGAUAAUAACAAGUUCAAAAUUAUUUAUGAUGAAACAAUUUCCCGAUGUGAAACUUUGUGGAAGAGUAUGCGAUCGCCAAAAAACGCGAAUUAUUAAUAAAGCACUUCGGUUGUUCAUUGAAAAGACCUGUUAUUACACGAUAGAACUCAUUUUUUGAUAGUGUAUAUCAAAUACAUUCACUGCAAGAUAAAAUAAUACAAGUUGAUGUAUUGCAAAAAAUUUUGGAUUCAAGAAACAUCCUUAGGUUCGAAGAUUUUCGAUUUAUUAAGGAAUACUUGACUUGUGUUGAGCCUCUUGCUAAAGGAAUAGAUAUAUUGCAAUCCGAAAAAAAUUGCUACUACGGAUAUUUAUUGUCAACAUUAAUUUCACUAAAAAGGAAAUGGUACUUUCUAAAAGAACAAACUAGUAUUAAUACUUGCAAACCACUUCUAAGCGCGAUGUUGAUUGAUUUAGAAUCGCGCUUUUAUGAUUUCUUCAUGUUACAAAUGUUGGCGAAAUAGCUGCGAUCACUGCGGUAAUGCAUCCAAAAUUUAAAAAUCGAUGGUUAGUAUGUUUAUUAUCAAAAUUACAAGAACGAGUGAGGGAAAAAGUUCUAGAAGCACUACAUCAAUUUUCGAAUGCCACACCUCAGCAAAGUCAUUCAUUAACGAGAAAAAAGGAGGAUUAUUUUGAUUUUGGAUCUCAAGAAGUUCCACAAAUGUCUAAUACAUUAUCAUGUCAAGGUAAUUACGAAAUUGAACUGCUGAUGUAUUUGCAAACUAGUGAUUGCUCUCUUGAUAUCCUCAAAUCAUAUCCAACCAUACGGAAAGCAUUUAUAAAAUAUAAUACAACGCUUCCAUCCUCUGCACCCGUUGAAAGAUUAUUCUCAUUCGCAACAAAGAUGAAUAUGCCAAAAUACAAUCGAUUAUCAGAUACUCUUUUCGAGACAAGAGUUUUGGCAGUAGCGAAUGCUAAAAAAACAUGUUAUUACACUGUAUCAAAGAGUCAAUAAAAAUUGAAAAUGCAUUGUUUUUUACAUAACAGUUUCCCUUAUACAUACGCAUAAAAUUGAAGUAUUUUACAUCUUUAAUAAUAUUUUACAAUUUACAAAAAAGCAACUUACUUCAAAUUUGUAAUUACUUGACUUCAAUUACAAUUACAAUCGAGAAAAGGAUUUGUAUUUACUUUCAACUUCAAUUACAAGUGCAAAAAAUAUUUGUAUUUAAAUUUGUAUCUAAUUAUCAAUUCAGAAAAGUAUUUGUAUUUCAAUUUGACUUCAAUUACAAUCCAGAAAAGGAUUUGUAUUUGCUUUCGACUUAAAUUACAAUUCCAAAAAGUAUUUGUUAUUAAAUUUGACGUUAAUUACAAUUCAGAAAAGGAUUUGUAUAUCAACUCGAUUUUAAUUAAAAUUAUAAAAAGUAAUUAGUAAUUAUAGAUAGGAAUUUAAUUACAAAAGUAUUUAAUUAUUUACAACCCUGCUUGUAAGUAUAUGUGUGUAAGUAUAUGUAUAUGUAAGUAUAUGUGUGUAGCCGCGAGGCAAGAUACACUAGACAGAUAGACAUCAUUAGAUUCUUGCCGAUCCUCGCGGAAUGUGCACAGAAGCAGAAAUUACUUUUUUCACUCCUCUCAAGUAAGUUUCAUAACAUAUAUAAAAUCUGAAGUAUUUUUCUUUCUUUAUUACAAAGGUAUAACGUAUUAUCCUAAUAUAUUUUAGUGAUUAUCUACAUAUAGUUGAUGAUUUGCAUAUUAGAAUUGACAUUUAUUUAGAUAUUCAUUUACAAAAUUAAUUACGAAUCAUAAAAUAAUUAGUCGGAGACAAUUGUAUCACUAAUGUUUGGGAACAGUUGUAGCGUUACUAUUGUCCUCGCACUCACUUGAUUUUAUUUUAGUGUUGUUUUCUAUCAUUUUUCAAAGCUUCUCCAAGAAAAAUAUUAAGAAAAGGAAGGAAAAAGAAAAAAUUAGCUAUCUAUACAGACUCGCCAGAAAAGGAAAACGUACAGGUUGAAAAUGAAGAAAAAAUAAAGAGAAGAAUUAAAAAUAUCUUUUUAAUUUAUCAAGUAAACCAAAGAAUUCUAAUACUGUUAAAAAAUUUAAUAUUACCUUUAAGAAACAAAAAAAUAAAUUUUUAUACGUGAUUCUUCAUUUUUAUAAAUUUUUAUAUUGUUACAAUUAUUUUCCCAUUAUAAUACAAUUAUAAUCCCAUUAAAAAAAAACCUUACCUUACUUUAAUCCCAUUAAAGAACCUUACGAAGAUAAAAACAAUACAUAACGAUACGCCAAGUACAUAAAAAUCCCAACUUGUACACAUUUUGUACACAUUAGACAUAUAUUCUUGUAAAUUUGUACUGUCCUUUCAUGAUUUUCAAUAAAUCUUUUUAUUUGGAAAUAUAAAAAGGAACACAGUUUACAGUUUUGCAAAUGUGAUUAUAAAUAUUAUAAAUCUUCUUACUACUUAGUCGAUACUAAUAAUUUACACAUAAAGUUAUUAAUUAUACAAAUUACGAGUAUACCAAUUAUACAAAGGACAGUAUGUUUUAAUGGGCACGCCAAGUGUCCAAAUACUAUUUCAAAUUACAAAACCUCAAACUGAAUUGCUUCUAAGUACUUAACUAUUGAUUUCAUAUUUAGUUUUUUUGUUGUGUACAAGUUGCGAUUUUUAGGUACUUAGCGUAUUUUUUAUUUUUCUUUUUGUAACCUUCAACCUAAACAAACCUUUGUAAGGUUUUUUAAGUAAGGUGGGAUUUCAUUGCUUUUUGUAAAAAUUUAUAGUUUUCCUGCAAAAAAAUAUAUGUGCAUGUUUAGGAUUUCGAGGCCAACUAUACUUUUGUAUUUUCGAAUCAUUUAUUAAUUGCCAUUCGGUACCUUUAGCACGUACUGUUUGUAUAAUACGUAUAUAACGUAUGUUUGUAUAAUAUCCAUCAAUUAUAUUUUUACCUUGAUGAAAAAUUCCAUUAAUACUUUUAUAUACAGGGUACAGCUUUAAGUUUUAGAUCUGCUAUUUUAAUAAUUGUUGUAUCACUAAUUUUAAAUAACAAUAACUGUAAGAUGAUAAUACUCCUGAUGGUAUUAUUAUAUCAGUUUUUUCAAAUGUAGAAAUACCACAACUGAUACAUAUUUUUUCAACAUUAUUCCAACGUGAAAAAUUAUAUUGUAUUGAGUUUUGUAAAAUACAUGAUUUUUUUAAUUUUCGGAUAAUUGAAACAAUAAUAUUAUAAUUGUCUCCAUUAUUUCAGGAUUGACUGUACCAAUCUUUUUCAAACUAAUCUUAAGUCAAAGCUUUCAUCCAUAUUAUAUCAUAAAAGUGCCGUUAGAUUUUUGAUAGUGACUUUAGUUCCUGAGAUAUUUUAAUUAAAAGUUUGUGUAACAGGAAAUUCCGAAUAAGCUGUACAGUAACUCUCGACAUCUAUGCAGCGAUUCAUUAUUUUUCAUCUAGUUUGGGAAGUUGUAUCACACCCGGCGCAUUCCGAAAACUUGGCUUCAUCAGAUUUUAAUUUAUUUCAGUCUUUGCAAUAUCAUUUUGUAUAAUACGCACUUUAAAACUAUUAAAGACGUGAAAAAAUGAUUUGAUGAAUAAAAUUUAUUGAAUAAAAAUCGCCAUUUUUUCCGCGAUGGAAUCCGCCAAUUGUCCGAAAAGUAAACUUAUAGAAAAUAGUGGUGUUUAUUUAGACGAUUAAUGUUGUACUGCUUAAUUCAUGAAUACAAUUUGAGUUUUAUAAAAAAGAAUGUAAAAAAUGCUGACUUGACCAUUGGGAAAAUAAAAUUAGUGCAAAAUGUGAACUCAAUUGCAUAACGAAGACACAUGGCACAAUCCUACAUUAAAAAUGGAACAAAUAAUGUUUUUACGAAAAGUGAAAAAUUACGAUAAAAAGAAUUCUGAAAGAAGAUUAAAUAUUUUUAUUUGUAAACUUUGAUCAUUAUAUUUACUAACAAGCAUAUAAGAAACAAAAAACUAAAAAUACUGUGUAAAUGUAAUUUUACACAGUAAAUAAAUGCUUAAUAAGAGAGAUAGAUUUCUUGACGUCUGGAUACUGAGUUUUAUAAUGUAUAAUAACACGAUUUAAAGAAUAAAAUAUUUUUUCUCCUCAUUUCUCGAACUGAAACUUGAUUAAAAUCAUAUAUAAAAAAUUAACUAGAUUUGCUGUAUCAUUUAUGACUUUAAGUAGAUAAACAAGAUUUUAAAACUAUGUUUAUUUACUCAUGUAGUAAGAUCUAUCUGGAUGAAGUCUAUCAAUAGUGAAAAUUUUUCGCUUUGAAUGUAGUGAUAUAAAAUGCUCAAUUCGACAGUUAAAAUAAUUCAAAUCAUUUUUACUUAUUUUCUUUUCAGCUUUUUUCAAUUCGUCAAUUCGAUGCUAUCGUUGAAUUUAAUAAUAUCUCUACCAUUCCUUUCUUUCUUUCAAUUAUAAUGUGUUUGUUUUAACACUGCUGUUUCAUUAGAAUUUUAAUUUACGCUUUAGUAUUAACCAAAUAUCACAUAUUGCGCAUUUCUUUUCAACAAAUGGAACUUUAAGGGCCAUAAAACAAAUUUAAAAAUUUAAAAAUAAAAGUCACAAUUAAAUAAAGUUUAAUGUAUAUACCUGCGCA